rnacentral:rRNA from 1 species
CACGUAGGCGGAUAUUUAAGUCAGGGGUGAAAUCCCAGAGCUCAACUCUGGAACUGCCUUUGAUACUGGGUAUCUUGAGUAUGGAAGAGGUAAGUGGAAUUCCGAGUGUAGAGGUGAAAUUCGUAGAUAUUCGGAGGAACACCAGUGGCGAAGGCGGCUUACUGGUCCAUUACUGACGCCGAGGUGCGAAAGCGUGGGGAGCAAACA